AGGGAAGAAAGACGCUUAUUUUUUGAUCCCCGCAAGAAUUUCGACGACAGUUGACUGACACCAGGGCCAAGUUCAUUCUUAGAACGUUUUGCACCGGGCUUUGAGUGAGUCAUCCUCCGAAGGUCAGCAAAUGGCGACCCUGUUUUCAGAGCUUUCGUGCCCACCACAGGUCCUCGAUCCUGGCUUCCACCCCAGCCCUUGUGGUUCAGUAGUUUGCACGGCAGGACCAGAGGGCAGCUGCAUCAAGACUUGCAUCAGGCCAGCCAUGCUAAAAGAAAUGAUGAUGAAAUGCUUCCUGUCCUUCCACUGGCAGCAAGGUUACAUGGUUGACUCAUCCUUUGCACCUAGGUUGCAGGUGAUGCUGACGUGCGUGCCCAAUCGGAUCAAGCGAAUGCGCUGAUUUUGACUUGAGGGAAGAGCUACACUUGCGGAUGGACUGAUGCCAUACUGAGAGAGCUGACUGGUGGAGGUACGUCUGGCCACCCUCCCAUUCAGACAGAUUUCUACCCAUCAUGGAUCCGGGCAGGGCAAUCACAACCAUUUAUCUACCACAAAAACUGUUUCAUCCCUUGGAUACACUGGAGCUCGUCGCAGGGCCUGCCCAUCACUUAUCUACGGUUGAGUCAGAUUUCUAUUACCUGCAUGCAGCUGUAUUUGACACCUGAUGUACCCUGGCUAUGAUCAACACGGAGACUUACACAUGCAGAGGAUUCACUCAGGGCACUCAGGGAUUCACUAAUGAGGGCAGCUAGGAGGUGCAGGGCCCCAUGAUGAACAAGCGGGGUCCUGGCAGCAGACCUCAGCACGUCUCUUGGAGGUGUGAAAUGUCUCAUUAGGCCUGGAGAGGUUUAUACAGAUAAACUGAGAGAAACACAGACAAAUAGAGUUAGAGUGGAAAGAGAGACAACAUGGUUAAAAGCCUGUGGUUCAGGAGGAAAUGAGAAAGGCGAAGACUCCAACAGAGAGUCCAGCUUUGAGAGUUUCAGUGCCCAGGCUGAAUGGCCCCCUGACUGGAGCGAAGGGAGGGCGACUGUCUGGGGUCAAUAAACCUCUAGAGAAGCCCAAGCUGGGCUCUA